rnacentral:rRNA from 1 species
UGUUACUCAUAACUAAAUAUUUUUGGAACAGUAGUAAUAAUGAAAUUUAACGGAUUUGGCGGCAAGAUAGCCAUUCAGAGGAACCUGCCCUAUAAGCGAUAAGCCACGAACAACCCUACUCCCUAUAGUUUAUCAGCUUGUAUACCGCUGUUGUCAGUUAGUUUCCUUAGAAAACUUUCAUCUAUGAUAAAAUCAAUGACUUCAAGUAAAGGUGCAGCUCAUGAGAGAGACAGAGGUGGGUUACAAUUAAAAGAAUAAAACGGAAAAAGAUUUUGAAACAACUUUUGAAGGUGGAUUUGAAAGUAAAACUUUAAAAAGUUUGACGAGAGCUCUAUCUUGU